rnacentral:tRNA from 2 species
GGUCUUAUAUUCAAUUAUGAUUCUAGACUGCAAUUCUAGAGGUGUAAAUCUACUAAGGCCU